AUUGAACGCUGGCGGCAUGCCUUACACAUGCCAGUCGAACGGUAACGGGCCUUCGGGUGCCGACGAGUGGCGCACGGGUGAGUAAUACAUCGGAACGUGCCCGAUCGUGGGGGAUAACGAGGCGAAAGCUUUGCUAAUACCGCAUACGAUCUACGGAUGAAAGCAGGGGACCGCAAGGCCUUGCGCGGACGGAGCGGCCGAUGGCAGAUUAGGUAGUUGGUGGGAUAAAAGCUUACCAAGCCGACGAUCUGUAGCUGGUCUGAGAGGAUGAUCAGCCACACUGGGACUGAGACACGGCCCAGACUCCUACGGGAGGCAGCGGUGGGGAAUUUUGGACAAUGGGCGCAAGCCUGAUCCAGCCAUGCCGCGUGCAGGAUGAAGGCCUUCGGGUUGUAAACUGCUUUUGUACGGAACGAAAAGCCUUCUUUUAAUACAGGAGGGUCAUGACGGUACCGUAAGAAUAAGCACCGGCUAACUACGUG
rnacentral:rRNA from 1 species